ensembl:lncRNA
CAGAGUAAGACCCCGUCCCACCCCCCAAAAAAAGUUAACAUCACUAUAUAAUUGUACUCUAAAUUAUUAGCAAAAUGAAAGAAAAUUAAGUGUUAUUUAAAAAUAGGCAAGGUGCAGUGGCUCGUGCCUACAAUCCCAGCACUCUGGGAGGGCAAAGCAGGUGGAUCACUUGAGGCCAGGAGUUUGAUACCAGCCUGGCCACCAUGGUGAAACCCCAUUUCUACUAAAAUUGCAAAAGUUUGCCUGGUGUGGUGGCGCGUGCCUGUAAUCCCAGCUACUCAGAAGCUGAAAUUUGAGAAUCACUUGAAUCCAAGAGGCGGAGGGUGCGGUGAGGUGUGAGCUGAGAUGGCACCACUGUACUCCAGCCUGAGAGACAGAGUGAGAUUCUGUCUCAAAAAAAAAAAUAAAUAAAUAAAGGCACAGUGCAUAAGGAUACUGGAAAACGAGAAUGCUGAAGACCAAGGUAGAAGGAGUAGGGUGGAACAUAAACAGAAUACAUUCUCAGUGAAUGCUUCUUGAAUAACUCCAUGGUAUUUUAGACAGUUACCCAUCUGCCCUAAAACAGACCUAAAGCUAAUGAGUGAGUUUCCUUGCUCUAACGGAACUAAUUAAUGUUUUUUUCCUGAGAGCUACUGUGUGGCCAAAUGGGCAUUAUUGAGUGAAGACUAGCUAUGGGCAACAUUCUGCUAGGGUUUUGUUAUUUCUUUCCUUUUUUUUGUUCUGUUUUGUUUGUUUGUUUUGAGACGGAGUCUCGCUCUGUCACUCAGGCUGGAGUGCAGUGGCUCAAUCUCGGCUCACUGCAAGCUCCACCUCCCGGGUUCACGCCAUUCUCCUGCCUCAGCCUCCUGAGUAGCUGGGACUGCAGGCGCCUGCCACCAUGCCCGGCUAAUUUUUUGUAUUUUCAGUAGAGAUGGAGUUUUACCAUGUUAGCCAGGAUGGCCUUGCUCUCCUGACCUCGUGAUCCACCCACCUCGGCCUCCCAAAGUGCUUGGAUUACAGGCAUGAGUCACCGUGCCUGACCGGGUUUUGUUCUUUCCUAUUUUUUUUUUUUCGGUGACAGGUCUCACUAUGUUUUCCACACUGGAAUGCAGUGGUGUAAACAUAGUGAACUAUAACCUUGAACUCCUGGGCUCAAAUAAUCAUCUUGCCUCAGCCUCCUGGAUAGCUGGGGCUACAGGUGUGUAUCAUCAUGCCCAGCUAAUUUUUUUUUUUUUUUUUAGUUUUAAGUUUUUCUGCAGAAACAAGCUCCUGCCAUGUUGCCUGGACUGGUCUCCAAUUCCUGAACUCAAGUGAUCCUCAAGUGCCAAGCCUUUUAUCACAUCUUGAAGUCUGUAAGAAGUGGAUCAUCUCUUCUGGCCGGGCGCAGUGGCUCAUGCCUAUAAUCCCAGCACUUUGGGAGGCAGAGGCGGGCAGAUCACAACGUCAGGAGAUGGAGACCAUCCUGGCUAACAUGGUGAAACCCCAUCUCUAUUAAAAACACAAAAAAUUAGCCAGGGUGGUGGCGGGCACCUGUUGUCCCAGCUACUUGGGAGGUUGAGGCAGGAGAAUGGCAUGAGCCCAGGAGGCAGAGCUUGCAGUAAGCCGAGACCACACCACUGCACUCCAGCCUGGGCAACAGAGCGAGGAGACUCUGUCUCAAAAAAAAAAAAAAAAGAAGUGGAUUUUUUCAUAGACCAGAGCUUUCAGAACAAGCCAGUAUUUUGGCUAUUCUUGGCCCUUUGCAAUUUUUUUUUGUUUCUUUGAGGCAGAGUUUCGCUCUUGUUACCCAGGCUGGAGUGCAAUGGUGCAAUCUCAGCUCACUGCAACCUCUGCCUCCUGGGUUCAUGCGAUUCUCCUGUCUCAGCCUCCCGAGUAGCUGGGAUUACAGGCAUGCUUCAGUACGCUAGGCUAAUUUUUUUGUGUUUUUAUAGUAGAGCAGGGUUUUGCCAUGUUGGCCAGGCUGUUCUUGAACUCUUGACCUCAGGUGAUUCGCCCGCCUCUGCUUCCCAAAGUUCUGGGAUUACAGGUGUGAGCCACCACACCCAGCCUGCAUUUUCAUAUAAAUUAAGAAUUAACCAGGCGUGGUGGCACACAUCUGUAAUCAUAGCACUUGGAGAGUCUGAGGAGGGAGAAUAGCUUGAACCUAAGAGUUUGAGGCUGCAGUGAGCUAUAAUUGCACCACUAUACUCCAGCUUAGACAACAGAGCAAGAUGCUUUCUAAAAAAAAUUAGAAUCAACUUGUCAAUAUUUAUUAAGAAAUAUGUUGAGAUUCAUCCUAAUGGUGAUUGUUUGUUAAAAAAAAAAAAAAGAAAAAA